rnacentral:tRNA from 2 species
GAAAAUUUAGUUAAAAAAUAACAUUAGCUUGUCAGACUAAAAUUAUAAAAUACCUCUUAUAAUUUUCU